CCGCCGCUCGCCGCCAGCGCCAAAAGAAAGGGGCCCCCGGAAUUCUCCAGCUACGUACGAGGAGCGCGAGCCCACAGCCGUCUCGGCUCCGAGCCCGCCGCCGGCAGGAAAGCCACAAAGAAAACUGAUAAACCCAGACAAGAUGAUAAAGACGAUCUAGAUGUAACAGAACUCACUAAUGAAGAUCCUUUGGAUCAGCUUGUGAAAUACGGAGUGAAUUGUGGUCCUAUUGUGGGAACAACCAGGAAGCUGUAUGAGAAAUAGCUUUUGAAACUGAGGGAGCAAGGAACAGAAUCAAGAUCGUCUCCUUCAGCAACAAUUUCUUCUUCAGCAGAAAAUACAAGGCAGAAUGGAAGUAAUGAUUCUGACAGAUAUGGUGAAAAUGAAGAAGACUCUAAAUUGGGCUCAAGUUUGAGAAGAGAGAACCGCUAAACAGGGGAGUAAAGACUCCAGUAACCCUCAAGCAAAGAAGAGUUGAGCACAAGGAGAGCUAUUCUCAAGCUGGAAUAACUGGGACUGAAUGGACAAGUGGAUCUUCAAAAGGCGGACCUCUGCAGGCAUUAUUAACUAGGGAAUCUACAAGAGGGUCAAGAAGAACUCCAAGCAAAAGGGUGCACGCUUCAGAAUAUUUUCGUAUAGAUGGAGCAGUAAUUUCAGCGAGUACUCCCAUAGCUGAAACUAUAAUUGCUUCAAACAACGAAUCCUUAAUUGUCAAUAGGGUGACUGGAAAUUUCAAGCAUGCAUUUCCUAUUCUGCCAGUCACUGAAUUCUCAGACAUACCCAGAAGAACACCAAAGAAACCAUUGACAAGAGCUGAAGUGGGAGAAAAAAAACACAGGAAAGAAGAGUAGAAAGGGAUAUUCUUAAGGAAAUGUUCCCCUAUGAAGCAACUACACCAACAAGAAUUAGUGCUAGUUGCCGCAGAACAAUCAAAGGAGCUGCAGGCCGGCCAUUAGAACUCAGUGAUUUGAGGAUGGAGGAGUCGUUUUCAUCUACAUAUGUUCCUAAGUAUGUUCCCUUGGCAGACGUCAAGUGAGAAAAUACAAAAAAAAGGGACGCUCCAUUCCUGUAUGGAUAAAAAUUUUGCUGUUUGUUGUUGUGGCAGUUUUUUUGUGUGUGUUUGGUCUAUCAAGCUAUGGAAACCAACCAUGUAAAUCCCUUCUCUAAUAUUCUUCCUGAUGACUCUAGAAAACCCAACUGA
rnacentral:lncRNA from 1 species